UGGGGAAUCUUGGACAAUGGGGGCAACCCUGAUCCAGCCAUGCCGCGUGAACGAUGAAGGCCUUAGGGUUGUAAAGUUCUUUCGCCGGCGACGAUAAUGACGGUAGCCGGAGAAGAAGCCCCGGCUAACUCCGUGCCAGCAGCCGCGGUAAUACGGAGGGGGCUAGCGUUGUUCGGAAUUACUGGGCGUAAAGCGCGCGUAGGCGGACCCGUCAGUCGGGGGUGAAAUCCCAGGGCUCAACCCUGGAACGGCCUUCGAUACUGCUGGUCUGGAGGACGAGAGAGGCAAGUGGAAUACCGAGUGUAGAGGUGAAAUUCGUAGAUAUUCGGUGGAACACCCGUGGCGAAGGCGGCUUGCUGGCUCGUUUCUGACGCUGAGGCGCGAAAGCGUGGGGAGCAAACAGGAUUAGAUACCCCCGUAGUCC
rnacentral:rRNA from 1 species